rnacentral:rRNA from 1 species
CAACCUCCCACCCGUGACUACCUAACACUGUUGCUUCGGCGGGGAGCCCCCCAGGGGGCGAGCCGCCGGGGACCACUGAACUUCAUGCCUGAGAGUAAUGCAGUCUGAGUCUGAAUACAAAUCAGUCAAAACUUUCAACAAUGGAUCUCUUGGUUCCGGCAUCGAUGAAGAACGCAGCGAACUGCGAUAAGUAAUGUGAAUUGCAGAAUUCAGUGAAUCAUCGAGUCUUUGAACGCACAUUGCGCCCCCUGGCAUUCCGGGGGGCAUGCCUGUCCGAGCGUCAUUGCUGCCCUUCAAGCCCGGCUUGUGUGUUGGGUCGUCGUCCCCCCCGGGGGACGGACCCGAAAGGCAGCGGCGGCACCGUGUCCGGUCCUCGAGCGUAUGGGGCUUUGUCACCCGCUCGAUUAGGGCCGGCCGGGCGCCAGCCGGCGUCUCCAACCUUAUUUUUCUCAGGUUGACCUCGGAUCAGGUAGGGAUACCCGCUGAACUUAAGCAUAUCAAUAAGCGGAGGAAAAGAAACCAACCGGGAUUGCCUCAGUAACGGCGAGUGAAGCGGCAAGAGCUCAAAUUUGAAAGCUGGCCCCUUCGGGGUCCGCGUUGUAAUUUGCAGAGGAUGCUUCGGGUGCGGCCCCUGUCUAAGUGCCCUGGAACGGGCCGUCAGAGAGGGUGAGAAUCCCGUCUUGGGCAGGGUGCCCGUGCCCGUGUGAAGCUCCUUCGACGAGUCGAGUUGUUUGGGAAUGCAGCUCUAAAUGGGUGGUAAAUUUCAUCUAAAGCUAAAUACCGGCCGGAGACCGAUAGCGCACAAGUAGAGUGAUCGAAAGAUGAAAAGCACUUUGAAAAGAGAGUUAAACAGCACGUGAAWUUGUUGAAAGGGAAGCGCUUGCGACCAGACUCGGCCCCGGGGUUCAGCCAGCACUCGUGCUGGUGUACUUCCCCGGGGGCGGGCCAGCGUCGGUUUGGGCGGCCGGUCAAAGGCCCCAGGAAUGUAUCGCCCUCCGGGGUUGUCUUAUAGCCUGGGGUGCAAUGCGGCCAGCCCGGACCGAGGAACGCGCUUCGGCACGGACGCUGGCGUAAUGGUCGCAAACGACCCGUCUUGAAACACGGACCAAGGAGUCUAACAUCUACGCGAGUGUUCGGGUGUCAAACCCGUACGCGCAGUGAAAGCGAACGGAGGUGGGAGCCCCCCCGGGGCGCACCAUCGACCGAUCCUGAUGUCUUCGGAUGGAUUUGAGUAAGAGCGUAGCUGUGGGGACCCGAAAGAUGGUGAACUAUGCCUGAAUAGGGCGAAGCCAGAGGAAACUCUGGUGGAGGCUCGCAGCGGUUCUGACGUGCAAAUCGAUCGUCAAAUUUGGGUAUAGGGGCG